rnacentral:lncRNA from 1 species
AUUUCAUAUUACUAUUUAAAAACUAAAUUUCUACCAAGAUUUAAAAUACAGUUUAUUCGCACCAGUUUAAAACGUAAUGCAUAAAAAACUUAGAGAAUAAGAUUUCUACAACUAGAUUUCUCCAGAGGAAUUUCAUAUUAUUAUUUAAAUUUUAAAUUCAAUGAUUUAAAAAUUAGAUUGAAUUGAUUGAUUUGACUGAUCAGACUUUGACCUAUUCUAUCAAGAAUCUGAUUUUAAUCUAUUGAACCGAAUAACAUUAAGAACAAUUUGGAACUGGUAAAGAUAAUAAAUAUUUUAAACAGAAUGAUAAUUUAACUGUUAGAGCUAAUAAAUAUUUUAAAUAUAAUUUUAAACAUAUAAAUUAAAAAGAUUAGAAUUAUUGGUGAGAAAAAAAAUAGUUAGGCGUUUGAAUUCGAAUCUGACUAACAAUCACAAAACUUAUUUCUGAACUCGACCAAUUUCAAAAAUCCAUAUCCAAAUUCAAAACUGACCAAUUUUCCGAAACCUAAAACUAAACCUAAACCAGAAGAAUAGAAUUCAAACAAUUAUUUCUGUUUACCAUAUUUCAAAGUAUUUAUAUAUAAUAUUAAAUUUUAAAUUUAAAAGUGAAAUUUAAAUUAGAGGAAUUUCAUAUUACUAUUUAAAAUUUAAAUUUAAUGAUCAUAUAUUGUCAAAUCAUUUGAAAUUUUUCUUAUGUGAAAUGCCAAAUUAUGAAAAGAAAGAUAGAGAGAGAAAAAGAAAACAAAGAAAAAAUAAAAAAUUUGAAAAUAUAGUAGAUAAAAAAUGACUAAAUUGUCCAUAUGACAAAAAUAUUCUUUUUUGAGGUACCUGGUAACCGGUACCUCUCCCAAAGUGACCUGCUAUUGCAGGUUACAAUUUUAAAAAAACUAAAUCUGAGCCGUCGAUUACGCGUGAAUGAACGGUAACAAAAAAAAAAAGAAGUAUAGAAGCAUUACUCUAAUUUUAAUACUUUUAUUUAGCAAUUCAAUUAAUAGUU